GCAUCGGUGGUUUAGUGGUAAAAUUAGCCGUUGCCAUAACACAUCAGGAAGCAAUUCCUAGAUGUAUUGUACAAUCGGCUAGCCCCGGGUUCGAUUCCCGGCCGAUGCA
rnacentral:tRNA from 1 species